UAGGGAAUCUUCGGCAAUGGACGAAAGUCUGACCGAGCAACGCCGCGUGAGUGAAGAAGGUUUUCGGAUCGUAAAACUCUGUUGUUAGAGAAGAACAAGGACGUUAGUAACUGAACGUCCCCUGACGGUAUCUAACCAGAAAGCCACGGCUAACUACGUGCCAGCAGCCGCGGUAAUACGUAGGUGGCAAGCGUUUUCCGGGUUUAUUGGGCGUAAAGCGAGCGCAGGCGGUUUCUUAAGUCUGAUGUGAAAGCCCCCGGCUCAACCGGGGAGGGUCAUUGGAAACUGGGAGACUUGAGUGCAGAAGAGGAGAGUGGAAUUCCAUGUGUAGCGGUGAAAUGCGCAGAUAUAUGGAGGAACACCAGUGGCGAAGGCGGCUCUCUGGUCUGUAACUGACGCUGAGGCUCGAAGGCGUGGGGAGCAAACAGG
rnacentral:rRNA from 1 species